UACGGGAGUGGCAAGCGUUAUCCGGAAUUAUUGGGCGUAAAGCGCCCGCAGGCGGUUUUGAAAGUCUGUUGUUAAAGCGUGGAGCUUAACUCCAUUUCAGCAAUGGAAACUACAAGACUAGAGUGUGGUAGGGGCAGAGGGAAUUCCCGGUGUAGCGGUGAAAUGCGUAGAUAUCGGGAAGAACACCAGUGGCGAAGGCGCUCUGCUGGGCCAUAACUGACGCUCAUGGACGAAAGCCAGGGGAGCGAAAGGGAUUAGAUACCCCUGUAGUCCUGGCCGUAAACGAUGAACACUAGGUGUCGGGGGAAUCGACCCCCUCGGUGUCGUAGCCAACGCGUUAAGUGUUCCGCCUGGGGAGUACGCACGCAAGUGUGAAACUCAAAGGAAUUGACGGGGGCCCGCACAAGCGGUGGAGUAUGUGGUUUAAUUCGAUGCAACGCGAAGAACCUUACCAGGGUUUGACAUCCUGCGAAUCCCUUGGAAACUAGGGAGUGCCUUCGGGAACGCAGUGACAGGUGGUGCAUGGCUGUCGUCAGCUCGUGUCGUGAGAUGUUGGGUUAAGUCCCGCAACGAGCGCAACCCACGUCUUUAGUUGCCAGCAUUUAGUUGGGCACUCUAGAGAGACCGCCGGUGAUAAACCGGAGGAAGGUGUGGAUGACGUCAAGUCAUCAUGCCCCUUACAUCCUGGGCUACACACGUACUACAAUGCUACGGACAAAGGGCAGCAAACUCGCGAGAGCUAGCAAAUCCCAUAAACCGUGGCUCAGUUCAGAUCGUAGGCUGCAACUCGCCUACGUGAAGGAGGAAUCGCUAGUAAUCGCAGGUCAGCAUACUGCGGUGAAUACGUUCCCGGGCCU
rnacentral:rRNA from 1 species